rnacentral:rRNA from 1 species
CCCUUAGAUGUUCUGGGCUGCACGCGCGCUACACUGAUACUUUCAGCGAGUCCACCACCUUGCCUGGGAGGGUGGGGUAACCUCUGGAAAGUGCAUCGUGAUGGGGAUCGAUUAUUGUAAUUAUUAAUCUUCAACGAGGAAUUCCUAGUAAGCAUGUGUCAUCAGCCCGUGCUGAUUACGUCCCUGCCCUUUGUACACACCGCCCGUCGCACCUACCGAUUGAAUGGUCCGGUGAAGCCUCCGGAUUGGCGCGCACCUCGGUGCCGCCGAGAAGUUGGCUAAACCUUACCAUUUAGAGGAAGGUGAAGUCGUAACA